rnacentral:rRNA from 1 species
UACGUAGGCGGCAAGCGUUGUCCGGAAUUAUUGGGCGUAAAGGGAGCGCAGGCAGGAAAUUAAGCGGACUUUAAAAGUGCGGGGCUCAACCCCGUGAGGGGGUCCGAACUGAUUUUCUUGAGUGCAGGAGAGGGAAGCGGAAUUCCUAGUGUAGCGGUGAAAUGCGUAGAUAUUAGGAAGAACACCAGUGGCGAAGGCGGCUUUCUGGACUGUAACUGACGCUGAGGCUCGAAAGCCAGGGUAGCGAACGGG